CUGCCCUGGAACACAGCGUCUGGGACUCAUCAGCUCCCUGAAAUCCAGCACAAGCCUCAUUCUUCCCUUCCUCUGUCCAGCUGUGGUCCAGAAAGGCUGCUGCCAUAAACCCUGGAUGCCCCUGGGGAGAGGGAGCAGCUGCCGGGAAACCUCCCGGGCCCUGGAGCCAUCACCAAAUCCCUGCUGCUAUUUCUGAGCAGCCAAAGGAAUUCUGAAAUUAAAACCU
rnacentral:lncRNA from 10 species